UGGAAGUUUUUUGGUAAUCUGAUGGAUGGCGGUAUGUGUUCUGUAUGUGGGGAAGAGAGUUUUGGAACUGGAUCGGAUCAUAUCCGCGAGAAAGACGGGAUUUGGGCAGUUCUUGCCUGGAUGUCAAUACUUGCUCA